CCUACGGGAGGCUGCAGUGGGGAAUAUUGGACAAUGGGCGAAAGCCUGAUCCAGCCAUGCCGCGUGUGUGAAGAAGGCCUUCGGGUUGUAAAGCACUUUCAGUGGGGAAGAAAGCCUUGGGGCUAAUACCCUCGAGGAAGGACAUCACCCACAGAAGAAGCACCGGCUAACUCCGUGCCAGCAGCCGCGGUAAUACGGAGGGUGCGAGAGUUAAUCGGAAUUACUGGGCGUAAAGCGCGCGUAGGCGGUCUGAUAAGCCGGUUGUGAAAGCCCCGGGCUCAACCUGGGAACGGCAUCCGGAACUGUCAGGCUAGAGUGCAGGAGAGGAAGGUAGAAUUCCCGGUGUAGCGGUGAAAUGCGUAGAGAUCGGGAGGAAUACCAGUGGCGAAGGCGGCCUUCUGGACUGACACUGACGCUGAGGUGCGAAAGCGUGGGUAGCAAACAGGAUUAGAUACCCCGGUAGUC
rnacentral:rRNA from 1 species